UACGAAGGGGGCUAGCGUUGCUCGGAAUGACUGGGCGUAAAGGGCGCGUAGGCGGAUGGCACAGUCAGAUGUGAAAUUCCCGGGCUUAACCUGGGGGCUGCAUUUGAUACGUGUUGUCUUGAGUUCGGAAGAGGGUCGUGGAAUUCCCAGUGUAGCGGUGAAAUGCGUAGAUACUGGGAGGAACACCAGUGGCGAAGGCGGCUACCUGGACCGGUUCUGACGCUGAUGCGCGAAAGCGUGGGUAGCAAACAGG
rnacentral:rRNA from 1 species